GCGGCGGUGGUGGUGGGGACGAAUCGGGGCUGGAUAACAGAGAGAGCACGGAGGGAGGCGGCGGCGGUCGCGGUCGCCGAGGAAGGAGGCAGCGCCACGUAGGGCGGCGCCAAUGCCUAGAUCUGAGAGAAGUCGGGAUGUAGGGCUAGGGCUCCGGUUGGCGGCAGCAAGGGCGGCGGUCGAGCGUGACUCACGGCGCGAGAAAGAG
rnacentral:lncRNA from 1 species